rnacentral:lncRNA from 1 species
CAGCUAUAUUUGGCGUAGUGAGUUUCUGGAUGGAAGAAAGAUGAAGAGAUUGGCAGGUGUGGAGUCAGGGACUCCUUAGUCUUGAAGGAAACAUCCAUGGCUUAGAGAGACCCUGUAAUUUGGGAAAUGUGAAUCUUGUACCCAUCUAUUCAGGACUCCUGAAGACAAAGAUGAGCCUUCUGUUUCCAGUGAUCAUGGGCCCCAGAUGAAGCCAGCCUGGGGGUAAUAAACCAGGUGAUAGUUUCACCUUCAGGAAGUCAUUUCUCCUCCCAAGCCUGCUUCCUCAUUAAAAAACAGAACACAGCAAUGAUGUUUGUGACUUACAGUGUGUUGUGACCUACAGUGAAGGAGCGUGCGUGAACACCACCUAGUCAAUGCCUAAUACAGGGUGUGGAAGAGCUUUUUUAACAGGCAGCUUUUUUUUUUUUUUGAAAGAGGAGUUACUGAAAUUCAGGAAAAAAAUGGAAGCUUGUCUGCAUUUCCUGCUACUGCUGAAAAAUGGCUCCUUGGUCUUCAUUGGCCCAAGUUUUCUGCUCUGGGUGACCCAUGAGGCAACACAGUUAAAAU